GACAAAACGAGGACACGGUGCUCCAGGAGAAGAGAAACCAUUUGGUCCCCUCAGGCUGGGCCCCGCUGGCAAAGGGGGCUCCCAGGUGCUCCUUGCCCUGCACCUCCGUCGCUCCCUUCUUGGGCUCAUACUCCGGGCCUUUAAGCACCCUCCGGUGGGCAAACGGCCCUCAGACCCAGCUCAGGAAGCUGCCCGCAGGUCGGAGAAUAAAGGUACUAAUGAUUUUUUAAAAACUCUAUGAUGUUUUCAGCCUCGUUUCCUGGUGCUCGCUCCUCCACCCCAGGAGGCAGCAUUGAUUUUAAGCUACAGAUGUUGGAGGCAGAAAAUGGGAUUACGAUAAACAGAGAGGGUGCCAGCUCCUCUGGCAGAUGCUAUAGAAACGGCUGUCGCUUUUGGUCGCAGAAGUGGCCCUCAAUUUACCUGCAAAUCCGAGAAGCCCUCAACGGGGCUGAAGUCUGGGCCUGCUCUCAAUACACAACCUGAGCCAAAGCGGGCAGAUUCCUCCAGUCGGUGCAAUGACCCUGAAAAAGCGGCAGGCCAAGUGUCACUAGACCCACUUUGGAGAGGAGGGAAACUGAGACCCAA
rnacentral:lncRNA from 1 species